AUUGAACGCUGGCGGCAUGCUUUACACAUGCAAGUCGAACGGUAACAGGGAGCUUGCUCCGCUGACGAGUGGCGAACGGGUGAGUAAUAUAUCGGAACGUACCCAAGAGUGGGGGAUAACGUAGCGAAAGUUACGCUAAUACCGCAUACGAUCUAUGGAUGAAAGCAGGGGACCUUCGGGCCUUGUGCUCCUGGAGCGGCCGAUAUCUGAUUAGCUAGUUGGUGAGGUAAAGGCUCACCAAGGCGACGAUCAGUAGCUGGUCUGAGAGGACGACCAGCCACACUGGAACUGAGACACGGUCCAGACUCCUACGGGAGGCAGCAGUGGGGAAUUUUGGACAAUGGGCGCAAGUCUGAUCCAGCAAUGCCGCGUGAGUGAAGAAGGCCUUCGGGUUGUAAAGCUCUUUUGUCAGGGAAGAAACGGCUGUGGCUAAUAUCCACGGCUAAUGACGGUACCUGAAGAAUAAGCACCGGCUAACUACGUGCCAGCAGCCGCGGUAA
rnacentral:rRNA from 1 species